rnacentral:rRNA from 1 species
UACGAAGGGGGCUAGCGUUGCUCGGAAUUACUGGGCGUAAAGGGAGCGUAGGCGGACAUUUAAGUCAGAGGUGAAAUCCCGGAGCUUAACUUCGGAACUGCCUUUGAUACUGGGUGUCUUGAGUGUGAGAGAGGUAUGUGGAACUCCGAGUGUAGAGGUGAAAUUCGUAGAUAUUCGGAAGAACACCAGUGGCGAAGGCGGACAUACUGGCUC